rnacentral:rRNA from 1 species
GACGAACGCUGGCGGCGUGCUUAACACAUGCAAGUCGAACGAAGUGGCGCACGGGUGAGUAACGCGUAUUCAACCUGCCCUUCAGAGGGGUACCACAGUUGGAAACGACUUCUAAUACCGCAUACUGAUGUAGGGGUUUUCGUCUGAUUAGCUAGUUGGAGGGGUAUCGGCCCACGAAGGCGAUGAUCAGUAGCCGGUCGGAGAGGAUGAACGGCCAGAGUGGGACUGAGACACGGCCCAGACGCCUACGGGAGGCAGCAGUGGGGAAUCUUCCGCAAUGGACGAAAGUCUGACGGAGCAACGCCGCGUGAGUGAUGACGGCCUUCGGGUUGUAAAGCUCUGUUAAUCGGGACGCGGUACCGGAAUAGAAAGCCACGGCUAACUACGUGCCAGCAGCCGCGGUAAUAC